UACGGGGGGAGCAAGCGUUGUUCGGAUUUACUGGGCGUAAAGGGCGCGUAGGCGGUCAGCACAAGUCGGUUGUGAAAUCUCCGAGCUUAACUCGGAAAGGUCAACCGAAACUGUGCGACUAGAGUGCAGAAGGGGCAACUGGAAUUCUUGGUGUAGCGGUGAAAUGCGUAGAUAUCAAGAGGAACACCUGCGGCGAAGGCGAGUCUCUGGACAUUUCCUGACGCUGAGGCACGAAAGCCAGGGGAGCAAACGGG
rnacentral:rRNA from 1 species